rnacentral:rRNA from 1 species
AUUGAACGCUGGCGGCAGGCCUAACACAUGCAAGUCGAGCGGAUGAAGGGAGCUUGCUCCUGGAUUCAGCGGCGGACGGGUGAGUAAUGCCUAGGAAUCUGCCUGGUAGUGGGGGAUAACGCCCGGAAACGGGCGCUAAUACCGCAUACGUCCUGAGGGAGAAAGUGGGGGAUCUUCGGACCUCACGCUAUCAGAUGAGCCUAGGUCGGAUUAGCUAGUUGGUGGGGUAAAGGCCUACCAAGGCGACGAUCCGUAACUGGUCUGAGAGGAUGAUCAGUCACACUGGACCUGAGACACGGUCCAGACUCCUACGGGAGGCAGCAGUGGGGAAUAUUGGACGAUGGGCGAAAGCCUGAUCCAGCCAUGCCGCGUGUGUGAAGAAGGUCUUCGGAUUGUAAAGCACUUUAAGUUGGGAGGAAGGGCAGUAAGUUAAUACCUUGCUGUUUUGACGUUACCAACAGAAUAAGCACCGGCUAACUUCGUG